rnacentral:rRNA from 1 species
UACGUAGGGGGCAAGCGUUGUCCGGAAUCAUUGGGCGUAAAGAGCGUGUAGGCGGUCCGGUAAGUCGGCUGUGAAAGUCCAAGGCUCAACCUUGGGAUGCCGGUCGAUACUGCCGGACUAGAGUUCGGAAGAGGCGAGUGGAAUUCCCGGUGUAGCGGUGAAAUGCGCAGAUAUCGGGAGGAACACCUGUGGCGAAGGCAGCUCGCUGGGACGUUACUGACGCUGAGACGCGAAAGCGUGGGGAGCAAACAGG